rnacentral:rRNA from 1 species
AGAGUUUGAUUAUGGCUCAGAANNNNACGCUGGCGGCGUGCCUAACACAUGCAAGUCGUGCGAGAAAAGGGGGGCAACUCCCUGAGUAAAGCGGCGCACGGGUGAGUAACACGUAGGUAAUCUACCCUCGAGUCCAGGAUAACCCGCCGAAAGGUGAGCUAAUACCGGAUAUGACCACGGGAGUUUCGGCUCCUGCGGUGAAAGGUGGCCUCUGCUUGCAAGCUACCGCUCGGAGAUGAGCCUGCGGGCCAUUAGCUAGUUGGUGAGGUAACGGCUCACCAAGGCGAUGAUGGCUAGCUGGUCUGAGAGGAUGGCCAGCCACACUGGGACUGAAACACGGCCCAGACUCCUACGGGAGGCAGCAGUGGGGGAUAUUGCGCAAUGGGCGAAAGCCUGACGCAGCGACGCCGCGUGGGUGAUGAAGGCCUUCGGGUCGUAAAGCCCUGUCGAGGGGAACGAAACGGUCUCGACCCAAUACGUCGAGGCCCUGACGGUACCCCUAAAGGAAGCACCGGCUAACUCCGUGCCAGCAGCCGCGGCAAUACGGAGGGUGCGAGCGUUGUUCGGAAUCACUGGGCGUAAAGGGCGUGUAGGCGGUCCGCUAAGUCUGAUGUGAAAGCCCGGGGCUCACCCCCGGAAGGGCAUUGGAAACUGGCGGACUCGAGUCCCGGAGAGGAAGGUGGAAUUCCUGGUGUAGCGGUGAAAUGCGUAGAUAUCANNANGAAUACCGGUGGCGAAGNCGGCCUUCUGGACGGUGACUGACGC